CACGGGGGGAGCAAGCGUUGUUCGGAAUCACUGGGCGUAAAGGGCGCGUAGGCGGCUUUUCAAGUCGGGCGUGAAAUCUCCGGGCUUAACCCGGAAGGGUCGUUCGAUACUGUUGAGCUAGAGUGUGGAAGAGGCAACUAGAAUUCCGUGUGUAGCGGUGAAAUGCGUAGAUAUACGGAGGAAUACCUGAGGCGAAGGCGGGUUGCUGGGCCAACACUGACGCUGAGGCGCGAAAGCCAGGGGAGCAAACGGG
rnacentral:rRNA from 1 species